rnacentral:rRNA from 1 species
GACGAACGCUGGCGGCGUGCUUAACACAUGCAAGUCGAACGGAAAGGCCCUGCUUUUGUGGGGUGCUCGAGUGGCGAACGGGUGAGUAACACGUGAGUAACCUGCCCUUGACUUUGGGAUAACUUCAGGAAACUGGGGCUAAUACCGGAUAGGAGCUCCUGCUGCAUGGUGGGGGUUGGAAAGUUUCGGCGGUUGGGGAUGGACUCGCGGCUUAUCAGCUUGUUGGUGGGGUAGUGGCUUACCAAGGCUUUGACGGGUAGCCGGCCUGAGAGGGUGACCGGCCACAUUGGGACUGGGAUACGGCCCAGACUCCUACGGGAGGCAGCGGUGGGGAAUAUUGCACAAUGGGCGGAAGCCUGAUGCAGCAACGCCGCGUGCGGGAUGACGGCCUUCGGGUUGUAAACCGCUUUCGCCUGUGACGAAGCGUGAGUGACGGUAAUGGGUAAAGAAACACCGGCUAACUACGU